rnacentral:piRNA from 1 species
UUGAAGGUAGUCAGAAUAGAGCUCAG